UACGUAGGGUGCGAGCGUUGUCCGGAAUUACUGGGCGUAAAGAGCUCGUAGGUGGUUUGUCGCGUUGUUCGUGAAAACUCACAGCUUAACUGUGGGCGUGCGGGCGAUACGGGCAGACUGGAGUACUGCAGGGGAGACUGGAAUUCCUGGUGUAGCGGUGGAAUGCGCAGAUACCGGGAAGAACACCCGUGGCGAAGGCGGCUCUCUGGGACGGUACUGACGCUGAGACGCGAAAGCGUGGGGAGCGAACAGG
rnacentral:rRNA from 1 species